GAUGAACGCUGGCGGCGUGCCUAAUACAUGCAAGUCGAGCGAACAGACGAGGAGCUUGCUCCUCUGACGUUAGCGGCGGACGGGUGAGUAACACGUGGAUAACCUACCUAUAAGACUGGGAUAACUUCGGGAAACCGGAGCUAAUACCGGAUAAUAUAUUGAACCGCAUGGUUCAAUAGUUAAAGACGGUUUUGCUGUCACUUAUAGAUGGAUCCGCGUCGCAUUAGCUAGUUGGUAAGGUAACGGCUUACCAAGGCAACGAUGCGUAGCCGACCUGAGAGGGUGAUCGGCCACACUGGAACUGAGACACGGUCCAGACUCCUACGGGAGGCAGCAGUAGGGAAUCUUCCGCAAUGGGCGAAAGCCUGACGGAGCAACGCCGCGUGAGUGAUGAAGGUCUUCGGAUCGUAAAACUCUGUUAUUAGGGAAGAACAAAUGUGUAAGUAACUAUGCACGUCUUGACGGUACCUAAUCAGAAAGCCACGGCUAACUACGUG
rnacentral:rRNA from 1 species